AGACAUUUCUUCAUCUUUCUCAGCCAGAAACGCCGUAGCAGGUCUCCUAUGCUGGUUUUUCAUAUUUUUGCACCAUUACUUAUCUAGUCACUCGGGAUCGAAGGAAAUGUCGGAGGCCGAUCACACUAUCAAAGAAAUAACUCGGUAUAACUAAACGUUUUGUUUUGGGUAUGGCAUGUAUAGAAACUUAGCUACUUUUGGUAUAAUAUGAAUAAUGAAUGAUGUGUAAAUACUUGCUAGUGAUUAGCUAAGAAAAUAGCUGAUGAUAUACAUGUUUAUUAAUAUGUAUGAUUGAAUGAUGAUUAUCACAUGAAAAUUAUGAAAAA